UACGGGGGGGCAAGCGUUGUUCGGAAUUACUGGGCGUAAAGGGCUCGUAGGCGGCCAACUAAGUCAGACGUGAAAUCCCCAGGCUCAACCUGGGAACUGCGUCUGAUACUGGAUGGCUUGAAUCCGGGAGAGGGAUGCAGAAUUCCAGGUGUAGCGGUGAAAUGCGUAGAUAUCGGGAGGAACACCAGUGGCGAAGGCGACUACCUGGCCUGUUCUUGACGCUGAGGCGCGAAAGCUAGGGAGCAACGGG
rnacentral:rRNA from 1 species